GGAGGUGGGAUGAGCUCCAGAAGGGUUUGGCUGCUGUAGGGGGGGCUGUGGUGCUCCCCCAUGAGUGUGGACAUCUGUGGGGCUGCAGCAGGAGCUUGUUGGGGCUGGGCUGCUCACUUUGCCCAGAAGUCUCCAAAAUAAGGAGCUGUGAGGAGUUCAGAGCAGACCUUCCUGCAAGGAAGGAAGUUCCCUCCAUGUUCCCUCUCCUGGUUCCCUCCAUGGAGAGAUGCACCAAACAUAUCAGAACAUACUCUAAAAGUAAAUGCUCUAGAACUAAAACAGAUCCCACUAUGAUGCCUGUAUCCUUAAUCCUGAAGGAUUUUGAGGAGUUCUCUAGGAUGCUGGUUGUGCUGUCUAUUCCUGUUGCCUUCCUUUGCAACAUUCAGUGGAUUUUGUGGUAUCUUUCAGGAGCAGAAAAUCAUUGGAGAUGAUUUCACUCACUUUUCAGCGAGGAACUAUCAUCUCACGUUGGCAUCUUUGGGUGUGACGUAACCCAAGAACAAAAAUCUCCAUCCAGUUUUACCACAUCAUCAAUUUUGCUGACACUCCAUUGUUCAUAAAGCACCAAAAUGCAACUCUUGCUUUCAAACUCUUUCCCUGAGUUCAACACGAUAAUGAAUGUGAAGGGUUUGCACGGAGGUGGCAAAACUUUAUUUCCUGCCUCCCCCCCCAGCUUUUUUUUUCUCCAGGUUCACACCAGAUAGGCAUUUUUUACAGCCUGAAAGGGGAUGUUUUCUUUUGUUAAUAGCUUACAAUCAGAUGAAAGGACUCAUCACUCUAUUUUAGUGCUCCACCACAUGGCGUGUAUCUUUUAUAAAUUACAGGCUGGCGUUGUGUGCACUGGGGGAGAGAAAGGUUGGUUUUCUUGCUGUGAGCCAUCCUGCCUAAUUGUCGUAUGCAAAUAAAAGCAAUUAUAAGGCUUUUAGGGUGAAGGGA
rnacentral:lncRNA from 1 species